UGGGCUGGGCUGGGCACUUCCACAUGCCUAGGGCAUGGCCGAGAAAAAAAAAAAAAAAAAAGAAAAAAGCAUUCCAGGAAAUAAGACACACAUUAGCUCCUAUUCAUUCCCUCUCCUUCCUCCAUGACCUUGUUUCAUCACUCACUUUCUCUGCUAAUCAAUCGUCAAAUUCUUCCUCCGAUAGCAUUCCAUCCUAACUCCUCAAGCAUCUUCCCAUUUUGUAUUUGUGCUUCUCUAUCUCUCAUCUUGGAAUUGAAAGUCUACACCUACGGCCUUCUGGGAGUUCCUAUCGUAGCUCAGCAGAAACAAAUCUGACUAGUAUCCAUGAGGAUGCACGUUCAGUCCCUGGCCUUGAUCAGUGGGUUAAGGAUCUAGCAUUGGCAUGAACUGUGGUGUUGGUUGCAGAUGCGGCUCGGAUCUGACACUGCUGUGGUGUAGGCAAGCGGUUACAGCUGCGAUUUGACCCCUAGGCUGGGGACCUCCGUAUGCUGUAGGUGCAGCCUUAAAAAGACAAAAUAAUAAUAAUAAUAAUAAUAAUAAUAAUAAUAAUAAUAAACCUACAGCCUUCACGCCUCAGUCCAAUGCAAUCUAACUUUUUUUUUUUGCCACACCUAUGGCAUGCAGGCCAGGGAUCAAACCUGACCCACAGCAGGGACAACACCAGAUCCUGAAGCCCUAGGCCAUAUUUUUCUUACGGAGGUGUUCACUGACCGUUUACCUGCUCGAUCCAAUCCCUUUUCUUCUUGUACUUGAUUUCACUGCAGCAUUUACUCCCUGGGGGAUCUCUCCUAUUUUAAUAGUGUACCACCACUGCUCGCCAAUGCCACCAAGUCAGUUGCCUUCAUCUUGGUUUUCGAGAAACUAUUCAUUAAACUGUUCCAUCUAAAACCAAACUCAUAAUCCUCCGCAAUUCCAUUCCCUGGCUCAAUUCAGACUCAAUAGGCACUGACCCUCUCAAGCAGGAAACCAACUCUGUUUCAUCCUCAAUUCUUCUCUCUCAUUCUACUCAUUCAAUCAGCCACCAAAUCGCUUUCUCCACCCACAAUCCAUUGCCUUAGGUUAGAUCAUUAGCAUUUCUUUUUUUCUCCCCCUCUUUUGGCCACCCCAUGCCACAUGAAGUUCCUGGGCCAGGGAUCAGAUCAGGGCUGCAGUUGUGACCUAUGCCACAGCUGUCACAACAUUGGAUCUUUAUCCCACUGUGCCGGGCUGGAGACUGAACCUGUGUCCCAGGGCUCCAGAGAAACCUCAGAUUCCACUGGGCCACAGCAGGAACUCCUCAUUAGCACUUUUUAAAAGGACCCAUCUGUCCUUAAUCUCCACUGCUAUCUCUAGUCUAUCCCCCCAAGGCCUGAGGGAGUUGGGAGUUUUCACCGCAGAGGAGAAAUCCCGACCGUGACACCACCCUACUCACGAACUUUCACCUUUUUUCUUGAAGCUUGCUUCCGGGUUAUACCCAGUCUCCUUCACAGUGUCAUCACCAGGAUCUCCCAGCCUUAUCUGCAUGUGUUCCGGUCACCUUGGACGGCUUUUCAUGCCCCAAGGCAGCCAAGUUCAUCUGAGCACUGAGACAUUCAUUUCAGGCACUGAGUGUUCUGUUUCCGUAUCCUUCAUCCCCCAGCGCAAGGUCUGACAACUUUUGAACAUCCUCAGUCAAUGCUUCUUGAGUGAAUUAACCACCAACUGUGAGUGGCUGGUUCUUCAAUAAAACAUUAAUUAUUAAUUAAUUUAGUAGAUAAGUAAAAGAAUUAUGAAAGGAAUGCCUCCUUCAAAAAUAUUCCUUUUUCUGGAGUUUCCGUCGUGGCAUACUGGUUAACGAAUCUGACUAGGAACCAUGAGGUUUCGGAUUCAAUCCCUGACCUUGCUCAUGGGUUAAGGGAUCCAGCAUUGCUGUGGCUGUGCUGUAGUCUGGCAGCUACAGCUCCAAUUCAGCCCCUAUCCCAGGAACUUCCAUAUGCUUCAGGUGUGGCCCUAAAAAGACAAAAAAAAAAAAAAAAAAA
rnacentral:lncRNA from 9 species